rnacentral:rRNA from 1 species
UACAGAGGGUGCGAGCGUUAAUCGGAAUUACUGGGCGUAAAGCGCACGUAGGCGGCUUUGCAAGUCAGAGGUGAAAGCCCGGGGCUCAACCCCGGAAUUGCCUUUGAGACUGCAUCGCUUGAACAUCGGAGAGGUAAGUGGGAAUUCCGAGUGUAGAGGUGAAAUUCGUAGAUAUUCGGAAAGAACACCAGUGGCGAAGGCGACUUACUGGACGAUUGUUGACGCUGAGGUGCGAAAGCGUGGGGAGCAAACAGG